rnacentral:rRNA from 1 species
UACAGAGGGUGCGAGCGUUUGUUCGGAAUUACUGGGCGUAAAGGGCGCGUAGGCGGUGCGAUCAGUCAGGCGUGAAAGGCCCGGGCUCAACCCGGGGACUGCGCUUGAUACUGUUGCGCUGUGAGCCCGGGAGAGGAUGGCGGAAUUCCCAGUGUAGAGGUGAAAUUCGUAGAUAUUGGGAAGAACACCGGUGGCGAAGGCGGCCAUCUGGACCGGCACUGACGCUGAGGCGCGAAAAGCGUGGGGAGCAAACAGGG